UACGGAGGAUGCAAGCGUUAUCCGGAAUGAUUGGGCGUAAAGGGUCCGCAGGUGGCAAUGUAAGUCUGCUGUCAAAGAGUGAGGCUUAACCUCAUCAAGGCAGUGGAAACUACAUAGCUAGAGUACGGUCGGGGUAGAAGGAAUUCCUGGUGUAGCGGUGAAAUGCGUAGAGAUCAGGAAGAACACCGGUGGCGAAAGCGUUCUGCUAGACCUGUACUGACACUGAGGGACGAAAGCUAGGGGAGCGAAUGGG
rnacentral:rRNA from 1 species